AUUAACGUUAUUUUGAUAAAUUGAUACAAAUAAUAAAUCACUUAUAUUCAAUGAUGCAAAAUUAAUAUCAUUUUUUUGCAACUGAUGCAUAUUAACAUCGAUUAAAAUAAUCACUACAAACAAACAUGUUAUACGGUAAUGUUUCGACAGUUUAAGAGUUACUAUAUAUGGAGGAGUGAACAAGGCAAACAACCACCAAAAACCAAAAAAAAAAGAGAUAGCUACUAAUAUAGAUCUUGGAGCAUGCCAAAUUUUACAAGAAAAAGACCCAGAAGAUUAUACUUUGGGGAGAGACCAAUUUGGGUUAAAAACAAGAGGAAAUCAAGAAGCAGUAAUGUCAUUAAGCAUAUAGAACACGGAAAAUCAUCUUCCAAGUGGUUUUGUUCAAGUUGACAAGAGAAGAGAGACAUUUUUUUUUGUAUCCUACAAUUCGAACUUGCAUGGAAGAAGAGACAUCAAAGGAUUUCAAAAGAACCCAAAACCUCAUAAUAAGACUCAAUUGUAUCUAAAACACCAACUUUGAUAUUGAAGAAAAUCUUAAUUUCAUUCUCAACUAAUAUAAGAAGAAGAAGCAUAACUAAGAGUUGUUGGUGUUAUAUAGAAGUGGGAGGAAGCCAUACAGGGAGGCUGUCAAACUCAACCCCUUAUGGUGUUUCAACUUGGUCUUCAAAAUGACGGAUACUUCUGGUGGCGAUAUCGUAAACACCAGAUAUCAUAAAAUCUGAUCUUUUAUGAACAAAUUAUACUUGGCGUUCGCUUUGUCUUUCAUCCAUCAAACAUUAUAUGUAUGAUUGUAUCCAAAAAAAAAUAAAAAAAUCAUGUGAUAUGAAAGUUUUUCUCUUUCGAAAAAAUAAUCUAUGCAUUCAAAACAGAGUUCUAGUCUAUGUUAACAAUGCCAUGCAAUUUCAUAAUUAUUUCUUUCUGCCUAAAAUCCUUUGUAUCAUCUUUCUUAUUCUCUUUCUGUGUAAUCUACCUUCUACCAUAACAAAAACCGAAGUUCCAUAAACAGGUAAUCUAUUUUUGUUUUAAAUUCUUAAACUGAAUACAAAAUAUUUAUCCUUUUGUUAUAAGUUUU
rnacentral:sRNA from 1 species